UAAAGCUAGGUUACCGGAGUU
rnacentral:miRNA from 1 species